rnacentral:ncRNA from 2 species
CAUCGCUUCAGGGCGGGGUGCAAUUCCCCACCGGUGGUAAAUUAAAACUACAUUCUUGUAGGAUUUAAUCAGCCCACGAGCCUGUAAACUGGUUAAAGUUUACUCGCAGAUUUGGUGAAAAACCAAAGCCGACGGUAUAGUCCGGAUGAAAGAAGACGACG